rnacentral:rRNA from 1 species
UACGAAGGGGGCUAGCGUUGCUCGGAAUUACUGGGCGUAAAGCGCGCGUAGGCGGAUCUGCAAGUCGGGGGUGAAAUCCCGAGGCUCAACCUCGGAACUGCCUUCGAUACUGCGGGUCUCGAGUCCGGGAGAGGUGAGUGGAAUUCCUAGUGUAGAGGUGAAAUUCGUAGAUAUUAGGAAGAACACCAGUGGCGAAGGCGGCUCACUGGCCCGGUACUGACGCUGAGGCGCGAAAGCUAGGGGAGCAAACGGG